rnacentral:rRNA from 1 species
UACGGAGGAUGCAAGCGUUAUCCGGAAUGAUUGGGCGUAAAGCGUCCGCAGGUGGCAAUGUAAGUCUGCUGUCAAAGCGUCUGGCUCAACCAGAUAAAGGCAGUGGAAACUACAUAGCUAGAGUAAGGUAGGGGUAGAGGGAAUUCCUGGUGUAGCGGUGAAAUGCGUAGAGAUGUGGAGGAACACCGAUGGCGAAGGCAGCCUCCUGGGCCAACACUGACGCUCAGGAGCGAAAGCCAGGGGAGCAAACGGG